GCGACACUUGCUGGCUGUUCAGUUGUUGUUGUUAUUCUUGGCUAUGGUUAUUAUUGCUGCUAGCUGUCGUUCAAUUUGAUAAUUGCAGUAAAACCGCACUUAGGACACCGGCUCUCAGACACACAACAGCAAUAAUAAUAAUAAUAAAAAAAAACAGACAGUGAUAAACUUUUACUGCU